CCUUCGUUUGCGUGGUGCGGGAAGGAGCGUCGUCGAGCUGUCGGCACUCUACCCUGCUGCUCUGCCUGGCGUCGAUGAUUGCUUACGGCUGCCAGGAGAGCGGUCCCAGGCGACGCCUGGCUGAGUUGGUGCAGUUGGUGGAGUUUCACGGUGGUUUGGAACUUCCUUAGGGUAAUCAGUAUUAAAGGCUUCUGUGGCUGAUCAGUUCUGCAGGCAACAUGCAUGGGUAACAGCUGAUCUGUAAAGGAUCAGCUAAAGCUUCAUCUCUUAACCUCUGAAGAACCUGCUUGGCUCCUCUUAGUGACAGAACCAGCUCCUGAGAGUGCUCUGACCUGCAGCCAGUUGCUGUUAACGAGCUGAGAAGCAGGCAGAGAGUUAUGCAAUAUGAGUUGAGCUUUGCUACGCAAGAACAAUACAGUUCUGGCAAGUACCAACAUCCCUUUUUCAAAAAAGGACAGGAAAAGUUGCUGUGAAAGAUAAAAAGGAAAAGUUUGGAAAAUCAGUGUGAUGGGACAGGAAGCAGAAACAAAGUUGAAGCCGGAGUUGGUGGCCUCAAUCAAUGAAGCGUUGGAGCGGACAUCUCAGACAUAGAAAAAGAUGGCACUGCUCGGGGAUGAGCAGAAACCACCAUAUCACUGGCGCAAACCUGGAUUACAUCAAGAAAGAAGAAAUAGGCAGAACUGGUGCUGCUUCGUGUGGAUCAGCAAGGCAGAUACUAAAUCAGAACCCUUCAGCACUCAAAUGAGCAUUGUAUCUAGGUUUGGAUCUUCUUUGGCAGAAUGCUUGGGAAGAAUACUUCAGUACAGAUUGGGUACUCAGACAUCAGAAUAGAAGCUGCGAAAAUCAAGAACAUCUAAUUUUGUUUUGGAUCUUGUCUGUUUUGAUCAGGAAAAUACCAAGCACUUGGAAUAUGGUUUAACCUAUGCUUCAUCCUAUGAUUUGAAGGCAUGUGGAGAAGAGAAGGAAAAUUAAUCACUUAGCCAUCCAAAAAACUGAACAGUACUUGAAUCAGAUGCACAAGGACAGCAUAAAACUAACUGAAAGGAUACUGGCUUUGGAAGAACAGUCUCUUCAGAAGCUUUCUGAAAUGUCAUCUACUUUGCCUACUCUAGCCAGUUUCAUCGUGAACACAGGAACCUCAAAGGCUGUCCCAGGUUCAAGGAGGAUUAAUUUAAAGCUAGGCCUCUUAGGGCCACUUUUAAUUCAAGGAGAUCCUAAUACGUGCAGAGUUGGGACUCCUAGGAACACUUUCAGUUAUUUAAAUGGCGUAAUACUUUUUUUAAAGGUGGAAGGCUUGCAUCAAAUUUGGCUGUGAAGUGCUGUGCACAGUGUUUGAUACUACAGACAUUCGAGGAUGGUUUACUUGUGGCCUUCUGUGCUUCUUCCAGGGGCAACAUAUGUGCAAGCUCAGUGACUGAUUUGUCUUUUGCUUUCACAGGGAUCAAUAUAGACAAAUCAAUAAAGAUAACUGGAUCUGAAAUACAAAUUAUAGCAUGCCUGAGAGUUACAGGACGACCGUGUCGUUCUUUACUACCUCAUCAUUGCCAGAACCUUCAAGUGUCAUUCAUUUCAGUCAGGACAAAUAGUGGUCACAAAGAGGAGAGUAUUGCAUUGAAAUCUGUCAGCCUACCUUUGGCUCCCUUGUCAUUUUCAGUUGCUUGUUUUGCAUCAUGCUGUUUGUCUUAAGGAAAAUCUAUAGACUGAUAUCCUUUGGGGAGUUGACUUAGGCUUUACUCAGGGUCUGAUGUAACAGGAAUUUACACAGAUUGCACUGCAGACUUGCAAGAGCCAUAGCAACAGCCUGUAAGGAAAGCUUGGCUGUUGACCCUUGCUGCAUAUUCCACUAUGGUGGAAGAAAAUAGGAAGUGAGAGAAGAUAGGUGAAGUUCAUAUCAGAAAAGUAUUGUUACAUGAGGGCUGUUUUGUGACCUCUAUUUGUAAGUAUGCUGUAAAACAAAGAAUCCCCAUCCCAAAUUAUUUGUCUUAAACCACAUCAAAACUGGACUAUCAGUGGCCAAAGCUCCUUUAAGAGCGUAUGGGACUGCUGUGGGGCUUGUCUGCUGCUCUAGCAUGAGAGGAAGAGACCAGUGGUGGUUGUGAUUCUAAGCAUAUGUGAUGUCAAAAUAAAUAGUGAUAUGAACAAGUAUCCAGCUUUAUUUCCUUGGUUUCCUGCCCAGAUUUGAGGUGCUGCUACCUAUAUAGCCUCUCUAUCAAAGCUGUAAGAGAGCGCACUGGAAAUGAGAUGUUCCCUGUUGGCAGCGCUCUCUUAGUCCCCAAGCAUUAGAUCUUAGUUGGAACUCCUGCAUG